AAAGAUUUCUUGCUACGUAAAGAUUUACGCACAGCUCCAGGAAUGGAGUCUGGGAGAACCUUCCAUUGACUAUGCCAGAUUCUUCAGAGCCAAACAGAAGCCCCCUCUGCUGUCAAUGCUGGUUACAACAGCUGUGUUCAGGGCACUGCCUGAAGGAGAGUGUGCAAAGAGUAGCAUGAUAUUUCAUUUGAGAUAGCUGGCAAUCAUAUGAGAAGAAGGAAAAGAGGGGACAAAUAUUCCAGAGGACAGCAGAGAAACACACUGAGGAAAGUUUCUGAAGCUAACUCAAUCUCAGACAAUGAGCACCAUUCACAAGGAAUAUGAGGGAAAUGA
ensembl:lncRNA